UCUCUCCUGCCUCCCAGGGCCUUCCCCUUGUGCCCGCCUUAGAUAAAACCCUCGCAGAGCCUACCAAAACCUUGCUCUUUUUCCCUUGAAUUGACCAAUCCAGGCUUAGCCCAGAAACCCUGAAGCAUUCUACCCACGAACCCUAAGAGAGGCACGUGUCCCAGUUCUGGCCAUUCUCCCACCCUGCCUUGACCUCCCAGUGUGGUCCCUCCAGAUGCACCACGUACCUCCUCCAGGACUUACACUGUUCUAGAUUCUGGGAAUUCAACAGUGACCAAGACGACGCCCCUGCCCUCGUGGAUUUCAAAGAGUAGUGGAGAAGACAGAAAAACAGCAUGAACAACUAAAAAAAAAAAAAUCAGGUCAUCCAUCACUCACUGUUGAAAGUAAGCCUUGUGUUUUGAGUGCAUUUCCAGCCUACUGUGGAGGUUGGGAGGAUAGGUCACAGAGAGCCACAGCUGCCCCCUUCAGCCAGAGCUGAGGAGGGAAAAGGAGCUAUUUCUGACCAUCUCCCCCAUCAGAACCCAGAGGAAGAGGUCCAGCUCGGAGCAAGAAUUUCCCAUUCUGUUCUCUGUGGAGCAGCCAGAAGGAACUUCUCAAAAUGCCCAUCUGAUCAGGUCCCUUUCUUGUCUGUAAACCCCUUAAAAACCUUUACUGCCCAUGAGAUGAAUUCCACACCUUUUAACGAAAACUGCAUGGUUGGAUCUCUGAUCGUCUCUGUAUUUGCAACCCAUGCCUGUCCACGUCUUCGAGGGCCCCCUAAAUAGCAAUCCUCUUUCCCAACUAUGUUCCGGACAAUAAAGAGACAGGACAAAGGAGCAAGCAGAUGGAGACCAUUACGGCACCUGUGGUCAUGAUGAAAGCAGCUUGCAGGAUGUCGCCAGAAUCCGUGGGCUGGUGUGCGUCCGGGCUCUGCGCCCCCAAAUUAGGCAGACUUCCCUGGCCUGGGGGAGGCAAGUGCUGAUGGGCAGCCAGCCAUGGACAAAGCCUCUCCCUGUGGACCAGCGGAAAUCCAGGCUCACUGCGGGCAGCUUCCUCCCUAGAGCCAAGGAAGACAUUGAGCUGCCCCUGCCUGCCACCGAGGUCAUCCCUGCUCCAUCCCCAGGAAGGUAAGUGAGUGAGGCCCAGAAGGCCACAGAGAAUGAAGUUCCCUCCACGUGGGAGGAAACAUCAGGAGAGGCGAGGCACAGCCUGCUUCACACAGCCCUCGCUUGCUUCCCCACGCCAGCCAGGUUGUCUGGCUCCAGGUCCUCACACGCACCUCCCCUCCACCACACGCCCUUUGAGCGUAGUGUUCCUCUGCUGGAAUGUUCUUUGUGGCCCUCGUGGCCCAGUUAACUCGGGCCAUCCCUCAACUCUCAGCUGGCGCAUCAUGUCCCCAGGAAAGUCUUUCCUGCCUCCCCACCCCAAGACCUUGCCGCUCUCCUCCCAGGAGAGUUGUCAUCUCACACGGUGCGCGUCGUUGAGCUCAUCGGCAAGACUAUUCAUGGAACUACCUUCCUUCACAGGAGACUAGAAAAACAACUCUUUAGCUUUUUCUAUGGGAGUACAGGCAACGGGUCUGGAAACGGAUGCAAAACUGACCCAUCCCCACCUGCCACAACUACCUCAAUUAUCAGUCUGUCUUCUUAGUAGUCAGUGUUUGUGUGUCAGUCUCCCUCACAAACAAGGCAAAGGCAGAAAUGCCUUCUCACUCAUGCUUGUGUCUCCAAUGUUCCCGGUACACAAUAAGUAGGAGUUCAAUAAAAAAAUGUUUUACAGGAUUAAAUGUCUCAUUCCCCAGCUCCUGUGCUAGGGCUGACCCCUAGGAAAGAAACCAUUCUGUCUUUCAGAUGGGCCUCUUGCCCAGUCCCACAGCCCCACUGCUGACAGGAAUUGGCAAACGUGUGUAGGCUUCUGGGCUCGCAAUCUUCACAGAACCAUCCAGAAGUGCUGGAGUAGAGAAGAAGGCAGGAUGGGAUAAAUUACAGGAGUGUCUUAAAAAUUUCAGUACAACCCAGUCUUUAUUUGGCCUUGUUAGCAGAAAGAAAAUAGAUUUUGAGUGAAGAGACCCCAUUUUCUUCCAGUAUUUUCCGAUAACUAAGUAGGGUCUUAGGAAGUUGCUCCGUACACCGCCAGGCCACAAGAUCAUCAUCUGUAGAAUGAUGACCAUCCAGCCACAGGUCCUUAGGAGUCAGCUUCUUAAAACUGGAAGGGACACUAAUGCCUCCUUUUGAGAGAUUAGAAAAUUGGAUCCUAGGGAGGAAGAGUGAUUGACACCAGGUUUUCCAGCUAGAAUGACAUGGAGUUGUCUGAAUGAACAUCCACACGAACACAAGAGACAUGAUAACCACGUGAUCGUGAACUCCACCACGUUCUGCUGUGGCUGCUUGGCAUGGCUGCUGCUGACCGGAAGAGUCUCAAAAUACCUCCAGGCUGAGGCAUCACUGGCAUCCUCACUGACUCACCUCAAGGAUGCCGUUUUCUGGUACCCGAGAGCCAGAUUAUGUUGAGCCACAUGUGUCCCGAAAAAGUCUUCUCAUUCUUAUGUAUGUCAACAACAGCAGACAGGCCAGCAACACUGAGGUCAGAGAAUCACGGAGACUUUAAUUCGUCCUGGUGGGAAGUCUGGGCUCUUCACACCUGCACCGUUUCAUGCCCCCUCAGGUCUGGUCCAGUGGUGCCCGACCCCAGCGUGCCAGGAACCAAGACGGCAUGACCCAUUGAGAAAGCACAAAAGGUCCGAAAGCUACCCUGAGUUUGGCAAUGCUUCUCAAUAAAUUUGUAUUUUACUCAAUAAAAUGAAUUAUUCAUAUGUUUGCAAAACAGUAAUUUUAAGAAGAUGACUACUUAUCAGCCAUUUAGUCUAAAAGUCAAUGCUUGCUUCUCAUAGUUUGAGAACGACUGUUCUAAAAGUGAGCA